rnacentral:rRNA from 1 species
UACGGAGGGUGCAAGCGUUAUUCGGAAUUAUUGGGCGUAAAGGGCGCGUAGGCGGCUUCUUUAGUCAGAUGUGAAAGCCCUGGGCUUAACCCCGGAAGUGCAUUUGAAACUAGGAGGCUUGAGUAUGGGAGAGGGAAGUGGAAUUCCUGGUGUAGAGGUGAAAUUCGUAGAUAUCAGGAGGAACACCGGUGGCGAAGGCGACUUCCUGGACCAAUACUGACGCUGAGGCGCGAAGGCGUGGGGAGCAAACAGG